AAGUGCUCCUCAACAGUGGCUGUCAAGAGAUGAGAUCUGGAUGGUAAGCUGAUGGAACGAGAAUGAGCACUAACUUUUGUGGUUGCAAUUGAGGCUGCCAUUUUUAUUUGCAGGAGGAAUUAGAUGCCAAUGAAAAUCCUGAACUCAAGGUUUGUUUGAUUGAACUCUCACCUUGGCACCUUUUUAUAAACUAUGAGGAGACAAAAGGAAUCAACUUAAUUUCCUUCAUGUGCCGAACAGAGAAACAGGCCAAGGUAACUAGGGGCUGAGGGCAAAACAGGCUAGAAUAGGGAUUAGUGACUCGGGUUGACCUAGCAAUGCAGUUUGUAAAAUUUUGUGUGUGAUUACUAUAUUAUAGUUUGAUUAUAUAUCUGGAUGAUCUGAAUUUUAAAGCUAUUUGCACUCAAAUCGCAAUUAAUCUUCUGUGUAUGUUUAUAUUAAUAUGAAUUGCCACCCGGAUCCGGUCUACUUCUAGUUUACAUUAGAUAGAUAAUUACAGUAUUGAUUGCGAGAAAAGAAUUGGGGACGGGUAUAACUCCUUUUUUUGACCCUGCACUGCGUUCUUAUUUGCGGUUUUGGGAUAUGUGAUGGGUAUGAGAAGGAUCCUGUUGCAGAAAUAUAUAUAUUUUGCAAAUUGUGUUGUUGAUGAAAUAUACGCGAAACCGAAUAUUGACUUUAAACAGUUGUUUUCGCAAUCUUUCUCGUUGAUAAUAUACUAGCUUCACAUACAGUCUGUACUCAUGUAUGUACAAAAACUGAUCCCUCACAAAAAUUCGGGGAUGCAGUAAUAGUCUAUCUAAUAGACAAUUCUGUUGGAAAAGAACUAGUGGUUGAGCACAUUGAGAAUUAAUACUCGUGUCUUGAUCAAUGAUCGGACUAGACAGUCUAAUUGUUCUUCACAUUCUUGCAUAUUCAUGUCCAAUGCCGUCAGACAUUUCUGAACGUCUUCUGUUUCUGUGAUAUCACUUUUUUUGCUUGAUUUCUUGCUGAUAGCUUCUAAAGCCAUAUCCAUGUUGUGAACUUGGUUGAUAAUUUCUUCUGUGUCCUCUUCACAAUGUACACGCUUGGACUGUGUUGACUUGAAAACCUUUGACCAUGUGCUUUUUGUCGAUGCUUCCUUUGCAGGACAGAUGGAUGAGAAGAUAGACUCGAAAACUGAGAUGCUGACUUCUUCGACUUCCCUUAGAAGGCUCACGAUAGCAGGAGUCUCGAUGCUUUUGUUAAUUUUGGACUUCUUAGAACCAGCAAAGCACUUGGAGAGCAUUCUGUUUGCCUUUUUCUUACAUACCAGGUAGCUUGCGAUUCUGCUUGAUACAUCAGUUUGUCUUCUACGUAGAGAGGAUUCUAGAUCUUGAACUGAAUCUCUCAUAUGCGAGAGAGCAUCUUUUGAGGUGCUGCACAGAUCCAAUAACCUAAUGGACCCGCAAAGAAUAUCUUCUCCGCAGCUCAAACGAUCUUGCUGUGCGGCUUGCGAUUGGAUCAAAUCUUCUACACACUCAUAUAAGUCUUGAAGAGCGGAUAAUUUGUCGCAUUUGGAUACUGUCGAUGAGGAUGCCCCUUCCGGGGUCCUUAAUCUGCACAAGUGCUCCUCAACAGUGGCUGUCAAGGGAUGAGAUCUGGAUGGUAAGCUGAUGGAACGAGAAUGAGCACUAACUUUUGUGGUUGCAAUUGAGGCUGCCAUUUUUAUUUGCAGGAGGAAUUAGAUGCCAAUGAAAAUCCUGAACUCAAGGUUUGUUUGAUUGAACUCUCACCUUGGCACCUUUUUAUAAACUAUGAGGAGACAAAAGGAAUCAACCUAAUUUCCUUCAUGUGCUGAACAGAGAAACAGGCCAAGUAUCAGAAAAUGCAGAUCUCAAUUGUAGCAGUGUCUGUGGGAGGAGGAACAUUUGCUUGGCACAAAAUAAUAUAAUAUGCAAGAAACCAGGCUGGCGUUCAUCUGCAAAUUUUGGUAAGUUUUCUAAUAUGAAAACAAGUUAAGACCAGGGGUAUAAUUUUGCAUCUCAUGUGUUAUAUAUUAAAGUUGUCUUGAAAUUCAUAUACAUUGCAUUAUUUUUUGCAUCUUGUUGUUAGACAUGUUGUAUAUUAUUGUUAAGUAAAACAGCGCAUGAAUGGCUUGGCAUUUUUUUUAUGCAUAGAAUUAGUGAGGGCCUUUAUUGCUCCAUUCGGUCUCUAGCGAUGCAGAGCUGAACACUUGAGAUCUGUCAUUAUGUGUACUGGGUAGACAGAAGGAAUCUGAACAGCCUGCAGUCAGUUUGCAAGAACCAUUAAGGUGUGACUAGGUGUCCUGGUAACUAGGGGCUGAGGGCAAAACAGGCUAGAAUAGGGAUUAGUGACUCGGGUUGACCGAGCAAUGCAGUUUGUAAAAUUUUGUGUGUGAUUACUAUAUUAUAGUUUGAUUAUAUAUCUGGAUGAUCUGAAUUUUAAAGCUACUUGCACUCAAAUCGCAAUUAAUCUUCUGUGUAUGUUUAUAUUAAUAUGAAUUGCCACCCGGAUCCGGUCUACUUCUAGUUCACAUUAGAUAGAUAAUUACAGUAUUGAUUGCCAGAAAAGAAUUGGGGACGGGUAUAACUCCUUUUUUUGACCCUGCACUGCGUUCUUAUCUGCGGUUUUGGGAUAGUGUGAUGGGUAUGAGAAGGAUCCUGCUGCAGAAAUAUAUAUAUUUUGCAAAUUGUGUUGUUGAUGAAAUAUACGCGAAACUGAAUAUUGACUUUAAACAGUUGUUUUCGCAAUCUUUCUCGUUGAUAAUAUACUAGCUUCAUAUACAGUCUGUCCUCAUGUAUGUACAAAAACUGAUCCCUCACAAAAAUUCGGGGAUGCAGUAACAGUCUAUCUAAUAUACAGUUCUGUUGGAAAAGAACUAGUGGUUGAGCACAUUGAGAAUUAAUACUCGUGUCUUGAUCAAUGAUCGGACUAGACAGUCUAAUUGUUCUUCACAUUCUUGCAUAUUCAUGUCCAAUGCCGUCAGACAUUUCUGAACGUCUUGUGUUUCUGUGAUAUCACUUUUUUUGCUUGAUUUCUUGCUGAUAGCUUCUAAAGCCAUAUCCAUGUUGUGAACUUGGUUGAUAAUUUCUUCUGUGUCCUCUUCACAAUGUACACGCUUGGACUGUGUUGACUUGAAAACCUUUGACCAUGUGCUUUUUGUCGAUGCUUCCUUUGCAGGACAGAUGGAUGAGAAGAUAGACUCGAAAACUGAGAUGCUGACUUCUUCGACUUCCCUUAGAAGGCUCACGAUAGCAGGAGUCUCGAUGCUUUUGUUAAUUUUGGACUUCUUAGAACCAGCAAAGCACUUGGAGAGCAUUCUGUUUGCCUUUUUCUUACAUACCAGGUAGCUUGCGAUUCUGCUUGAUACAUCAGUUUGUCUUCUACGUAGAGAGGAUUCUAGAUCUUGAACUGAAUCUCUCAUAUGCGAGAGAGCAUCUUUUGAGGUGCUGCACAGAUCCAAUAACCUAAUGGACCCGCAAAGAAUAUCUUCUCCGCAGCUCAAACGAUCUUGCUGUGCGGCUUGCGAUUGGAUCAAAUCUUCUACACACUCAUAUAAGUCUUGAAGAGCGGAUAAUUUGUCGCAUUUGGAUACUGUCGAUGAGGAUGUCCCUUCCGGGGUCCUUAAUCUGCACAAGUGCUCCUCAACAGUGGCUGUCAAGAGAUGAGAUCUGGAUGGUAAGCUGAUGGAACGAGAAUGAGCACUAACUUUUGUGGUUGCAAUUGAGGCUGCCAUUUUUAUUUGCAGGAGGAAUUAGAUGCCAAUGAAAAUCCUGAACUCAAGGUUUGUUUGAUUGAACUCUCACCUUGGCACCUUUUUAUAAACUAUGAGGAGACAAAAGGAAUCAACUUAAUUUCCUUCAUGUGCCGAACAGAGAAACAGGCCAAGUAUCAGAAAAUGCAGAUCUCAAUUGUAGCAGUGUCUGUGGGAGGAGGAACAUUUGCUUGGCACAAAAUAAUAUAAUAUGCAAGAAACCAGGCUGGCGUUCAUCUGCAAAUUUUGGUAAGUUUUCUAAUAUGAAAACAAGUUAAGACCAGGGGUAUAAUUUUGCAUCUCAUGUGUCAUAUAUUAAAGUUGUCUUGAAAUUCAUAUACAUUGCAUUAUUUUUUGCAUCUUGUUGUUAGACAUGUUGUAUAUUAUUGUUAAGUAAAACAGCGCAUGAAUGGCUUGGCAUUUUUUUUAUGCAUAGAAUUAGUGAGGGCCUUUAUUGCUCCAUUCGGUCUCUAGCGAUGCAGAGCUGAACACUUGAGAUCUGUCAUUAUGUGUACUGGGUAGACAGAAGGAAUCUGAACAGCCUGCAGUCAGUUUGCAAGAACCAUUAAGGUGUGACUAGGUGUCCUGGUAACUAGGGGCUGAGGGCAAAACAGGCUAGAAUAGGGAUUAGUGACUCGGGUUGACCUAGCAAUGCAGUUUGUAAAAUUUUGUGUGUGAUUACUAUAUUAUAGUUUGAUUAUAUAUCUGGAUGAUCUGAAUUUUAAAGCUAUUUGCACUCAAAUCGCAAUUAAUCUUCUGUGUAUGUUUAUAUUAAUAUGAAUUGCCACCCGGAUCCGGUCUACUUCUAGUUUACAUUAGAUAGAUAAUUACAGUAUUGAUUGCCAGAAAAGAAUUGGGGACGGGUAUAACUCCUUUUUUUGACCCUGCACUGCGUUCUUAUUUGCGGUUUUGGGAUAGUGUGAUGGGUAUGAGAAGGAUCCUGCUGCAGAAAUAUAUAUAUUUUGCAAAUUGUGUUGUUGAUGAAAUAUACGCGAAACUGAAUAUUGACUUUAAACAGUGAAACCAGGCUGGCGUUCAUCUGCAAAUUUUGGUAAGUUUUCUAAUAUGAAAAUAAGUUAAGACCAGGGGUAUAAUUUUGCAUCUCAUGUGUCAUAUAUUAAAGUUGUCUUGAAAUUCAUAUACAUUGCUUUAUUUUUUGCAUCUUGUUGUUAGACAUGUUGUAUAUUAUUGUUAAGUAAAACAGCGCAUGAAUGGCUUGGCAUUUUUUUUAUGCAUAGAAUUAGUGAGGGCCUUUAUUGCUCCAUUCGGUCUCUAGCGAUGCAGAGCUGAACACUUGAGAUCUGCCAUUAUGUGUACUGGGUAGACAGAAGGAAUCUGAACAGCCUGCAAUCAGUUUGCAAGAACCAUUAAGGUGUGACUAGGUGUCCUGGUAACUAGGGGCUGAGGGCAAAACAGGCUAGAAUAGGGAUUAGUGACUCGGGUUGACCUAGCAAUGCAGUUUGUAAAAUUUUGUGUGUGAUUACUAUAUUAUAGUUUGAUUAUAUAUCUGGAUGAUCUGAAUUUUAAAGCUAUUUGCACUCAAAUCGCAAUUAAUCUUCUGUGUAUGUUUAUAUUAAUAUGAACUGCCACCCGGAUCCGGUCUACUUCUCGUUUACAUUAGAUAGAUAAUUACAGUAUUGAUUGCCAGAAAAGAAUUGGGGACGGGUAUAACUCCUUUUUUUGACCCUGCACUGCGUUCUUAUCUGCGGUUUUGGGAUAGUGUGAUGGGUAUGAGAAGGAUCCUGCUGCAGAAAUAUAUAUAUUUUGCAAAUUGUGUUGUUGAUGAAAUAUACGCGAAACUGAAUAUUGACUUUAAACAGUUGUUUUCGCAAUCUUUCUCGUUGAUAAUAUACUAGCUUCAUAUACAGUCUGUCCUCAUGUAUGUACAAAAACUGAUCCCUCACAAAAAUUCGGGGAUGCAGUAACAGUCUAUCUAAUAUACAGUUCUGUUGGGAAAGAACUAGUGGUUGAGCACAUUGAGAAUUAAUACUCGUGUCUUGAUCAAUGAUCGGACUAGACAGUCUAAUUGUUCUUCACAUUCUUGCAUAUUCAUGUCCAAUGCCGUCAGACAUUUCUGAACGUCUUGUGUUUGUGUGAUAUCACUUUUUUUGCUUGAUUUCUUGCUGAUAGCUUCUAAAGCCAUAUCCAUGUUGUGAACUUGGUUGAUAAUUUCUUCUGUGUCCUCUUCACAAUGUACACGCUUGGACUGUGUUGACUUGAAAACCUUUGACCAUGUGCUUUUUGUCGAUGCUUCCUUUGCAGGACAGAUGGAUGAGAAGAUAGACUCGAAAACUGAGAUGCUGACUUCUUCGACUUCCCUUAGAAGGCUCACGAUAGCAGGAGUCUCGAUGCUUUUGUUAAUUUUGGACUUCUUAGAACCAGCAAAGCACUUGGAGAGCAUUCUGUUUGCCUUUUUCUUACAUACCAGGUAGCUUGCGAUUCUGCUUGAUACAUCAGUUUGUCUUCUACGUAGAGAGGAUUCUAGAUCUUGAACUGAAUCUCUCAUAUGCGAGAGAGCAUCUUUUGAGGUGCUGCACAGAUCCAAUAACCUAAUGGACCCGCAAAGAAUAUCUUCUCCGCAGCUCAAACGAUCUUGCUGUGCGGCUUGCGAUUGGAUCAAAUCUUCUACACACUCAUAUAAAUCUUGAAGGGCGGAUAAUUUGUCGCAUUUGGAUACUGUCGAUGAGGAUGUCCCUUCCGGGGUCCUUAAUCUGCACAAGUGCUCCUCAACAGUGGCUGUCAAGAGAUGAGAUCUGGAUGGUAAGCUGAUGGAACGAGAAUGAGCACUAACUUUUGUGGUUGCAAUUGAGGCUGCCAUUUUUAUUUGCAGGAGGAAUUAGAUGCCAAUGAAAAUCCUGAACUCAAGGUUUGUUUGAUUGAACUCUCACCUUGGCACCUUUUUAUAAACUAUGAGGAGACAAAAGGAAUCAACCUAAUUUCCUUCAUUUGCUGAACAGAGAAAGAGGCCAAGUAUCAGAAAAUGCAGAUCUCAAUUGUAGCAGUGUCUGUGGGAGGAGGAACAUUUGCUUGGCACAAAAUAAUAUAAUAUGCAAGAAACCAGGCUGGCGUUCAUCUGCAAAUUUUGGUAAGUUUUCUAAUAUGAAAACAAGUUAAGACCAGGGGUAUAAUUUUGCAUCUCAUGUGUUAUAUAUUAAAGUUGUCUUGAAAUUCAUAUACAUUGCAUUAUUUUUUGCAUCUUGUUGUUAGACAUGUUGUAUAUUAUUGUUAAGUAAAACAGCGCAUGAAUGGCUUGGCAUUUUUUUUAUGCAUAGAAUUAGUGAGGGCCUUUAUUGCUCCAUUCGGUCUCUAGCGAUGCAGAGCUGAACACUUGAGAUCUGUCAUUAUGUGUACUGGGU
rnacentral:lncRNA from 1 species